CCUACGGGUGGCUGCAGUGGGGAAUAUUGCACAAUGGGCGCAAGCCUGAUGCAGCCAUGCCGCGUGUGUGAAGAAGGCCUUCGGGUUGUAAAGCACUUUCAGCGGGGAGGAAGGCGUUAAGGUUAAUAACCUUGUCGAUUGACGUUACCCGCAGAAGAAGCACCGGCUAACUCCGUGCCAGCAGCCGCGGUAAUACGGAGGGUGCAAGCGUUAAUCGGAAUUACUGGGCGUAAAGCGCACGCAGGCGGUCUGUGCAAGUCGGAUGUGAAAUCCCCGGGCUCAACCUGGGAACUGCAUUCGAAACUGGCAGGCUAGAGUCUUGUAGAGGGGGGUAGAAUUCCAGGUGUAGCGGUGAAAUGCGUAGAGAUCUGGAGGAAUACCGGUGGCGAAGGCGGCCCCCUGGACAAAGACUGACGCUCAGGUGCGAAAGCGUGGGGAGCAAACAGGAUUAGAUACCCGAGUAGUC
rnacentral:rRNA from 1 species